rnacentral:rRNA from 1 species
GCACAAGCGGUGGAGCAUGUGGUUAAUUCGAAGCAACGCGAAGAACCUUACCAGGCCUUGACAUGCAGAGAACUUUCCAGAGAUGGAUUGGUGCCUUCGGGAACUCUGACACAGGUGCUGCAUGGCCGUCGUCAGCUCGUGUCGUGAGAUGUUAGGUUAAGUCCCGUAACGAGCGCAACCCUUGUCCUUAGUUACCAGCACGUUAUGGUGGGCACUCUAAGGAGACUGCCGGUGACAAACCGGAGGAAGGUGGGGAUGACGUCAAGUCAUCAUGGCCCUUACGGCCUGGGCUACACACGUGCUACAAUGGUCGGUACAAAGGGUUGCCAAGCCGCGAGGUGGAGCUAAUCCCAUAAAACCGAUCGUAGUCCGGAUCGCAGUCUGCAACUCGACUGCGUGAAGUCGGAAUCGCUAGUAAUCGUGAAUCAGAAUGUCACGGUGAAUACGUUCCCGGGCCUU